AUCAACUUUCGAUGGUAGGAUAGAGGCCUACCAUGGUGGUAACGGGUAACGGGGUGUUAGGGCACGACACCGGAGAGGGAGCCUGAGAAACGGCUACCACAUCCAAGGAAGGCAGCAGGCGCGCAAAUUACCCAAUCCCGACAUGGGGAGGUAGUGACAAUAAAUAACAAUACAGGGUUCUUUUGGAUCUUGUAAUUGGAAUGAGUACAAUUUAAAUCUCUUAACGAGGAACAAUUGGAGGGCAAGUCUGGCGCCAGCAGCCGCGGUAAUUCCAGCUCCAAUAGCGUAUAUUAAAGUUGUUGCAGUUAAAAAGCUCGUAGUUGAAUUUCGGGAUCAAAGAAUCGGUCAUGCCUUGGUAUGUACUGGUUUUAUUGGUUCUCACCUUCUAAAGAACCAUAAUGUCAUUCAUUUGAUGUUAUGGGGAAUUAGGACUGUUACCUUGAAAAAAUUAGAGUGUUUAAAGCAGGCUUACGCUUGAAUACAUUAGCAUGGAAUAAUGAAAUAGGACAUCAGAUUCUAUUUUGUUGGUUUCUAGGAUCGAUGUAAUGAUUAAUAGGGAUAGUUGGGGGCAUUAGUAUUCAAUUGUCAGAGGUGAAAUUCUUGGAUUUAUUGAAGACUAACUACUGCGAAAGCAUUUGCCAAGGAUGUUUUCAUUAAUCAAGAACGAAAGUUAGGGGAUCGAAGACGAUCAGAUACCGUCGUAGUCUUAACCAUAAACUAUGCCGACUAGGGAUCGGAUGAUGUUUAUUUUUUAGUGACUCAUUCGGCACCUUACGGGAAACCAAAGUGUUUGGGUUC
rnacentral:rRNA from 1 species